UUAAAUUCGGCAGCACAUGUACUAAAACUGCAACAAUCCAGAGAAGAUUAACAUGACCCCUGUGCAAGAACGACAUGCAAAUCAUGGACCAUUCCAUUUUUUU
ensembl:snRNA U6 U6 spliceosomal RNA